rnacentral:tRNA from 1 species
GCCGGGGUGCCCGAGCGGCCCAAGGGGGUGGGCUCGAGACCCACUGCCCCGUGCAGGGGCGCGCGGGUUCGAAUCCCGCCCCCGGCGCCA